UGAGGGGCAACUUUAACAAAGGAGAGGUUGAGGGGUGGGGGCUUCAACUGACAGGUGGCACUAUAGAGCGGAGGAGUGGAGAAAUGACACAAGAAGGGUUUAAUGGAAGAGCUUCUGAGCACUGCAAAGUCAUUGUGGCACUACUACCUUCCAUUCUUCUCUCCGUCACUUUGUGUGUUGCUUGCAGGCACUGAGACUGUUGCUACAUAGCCACUCUCUCUCCCCUUCUCCCUCAAGUCUCCACAAAGGGCAUGCCUUUAAAGCCAUGGUAUUUCAGUGAGGAUCCAAAAAGCAUGCUGGAUGCUUUUGUCUUACACCUUAGACGCCUUAGGAUAAGUGUCCCCUUGCCAGGUUAGGUGAGAAUCAGGAUCAUGGGCACCACAGUCAUCACCAUUGAGGAUGUGCGCACUCUGGAGGUCAAGGAGGAGCAGGAGGAGUCCAUAUUGGCAACGUUAGGCAUAGUAGGCACAUUCCUUAACCUCUUUGUUAUCGUUUUUGUUUACAUCUACACCACACUGUGAUGCGCCAAAGCCAAAAGACAAAGGAUUUCUUAAAACCAGCCAUCAAAAAAGACGGAGAAAAGAAAGGAGGACGUGAGCAUUCGGGAAGGGAUCCAUUAGAAACUGACACGUGUUGGGGAAAGAAGUUUGACAUGAAAAUCUUUUCUAAAGAGAGGAAGUGGAAACUUGACAGACUGGAUAAGGCCGAAGCAAUAUUGCCAAGUCACAGCCAUGAGCCGGGGAGAUAACAAAGGGUUGAAAGACAUGGCAGACACAGGGCCAUGCUAGUAGCAGGGUGAGCAGAGCCAGACAGACACAAGCCAGCUCCCAUCCAAGACUGAUUCCCCUGUGGCCUCAUAUGAAAUACUCACUUCCACUGGAUUUUUUCUCUUGGGCAGCUGGACUCAGUGGAAUGAUAAGCAAACAAAACAUUCUUGUGGACAACAGUAAUGCUUUUUAAUGUAUUUUUACCUAAUUUUCAAACAACGGGAGUAUAAGUGCUUUUUGCAUCAAAGGGCUUUUAAGCAACAAGACUAAAAGCCGAUGGAGAGCUAAGAACUAUGCUGGGAAGCUUCUCUGGAGCCACUAUUGGCCACCAAAUUCAACCUGUCUUCAGGGGGAAUUGUUGUACUGUAGCUUCUGUCAGGUCUGUUAAAUAAGCAAGAUAAUGAAGUAUGAGAUCAGAUAGUCAUUAAAUCAUGUGGCUGAUAUACAUAUAA